CGCACACACACCGUGUAUGUAAGGGCGGAGGGGCGGGGAAAUUUGAUAAUUCUAUUAUUGUUUGAUUUUCGUAUAACUCAAUUCUAUGAAUCUCUUGUUUCAGAUGAUGCUUAUCUAUGGUUCUUCGUUUGGUUUAUUAUCUCUCCUAUAGAUUCUAUUUAGGUUCAAGGCUAUGUAGACAACAACAACAACAACAACAACAAAUUCCUCUAUUAAAUUUCUAAGAGCUAUGUACAUAUGAAUGUAUCUCAAGGGACUCGGUUAUCUUACUUAUGUAUGUAUGUACAUAUUGCACAAGUUUCAAUUAGGAACUGAAAACGAACAUAAAAACUAUUUCCACUGAAUGUUAUUUAAGUUACCAAGGGCAAUAACUAAUGGGUUUUCCGAAGAUUAUGAAAGUACAUACACUCCACUCCCGUAUAUGGAUAUCAAAUGAGUCGUAACAUGAAUGCCCCUUAUCCAACAAGAAAAAAGCCAUCCACUGGAUCUGCCCUUCAGAUCAGAGUUCGACUGAUGAGCUGGCUGAAUGCGCCCUGGAGACAACAAGUUUCAGCUAAAUAAUCUAAAUAAUACCUCUAACUAUUGUUAUUAUGCUUAUUGUUUUUUUGCCAUAAAUUAUUUUUAUCUUUAAGUAA